rnacentral:antisense_RNA from 1 species
CUUUAUCGAACCCAGCAACAGCGGCCGGUCUACGGGACGGUCCUGACCGUAAGUUGCCAGCAGUGCCUGAGCCUC